GGCUGGGGGAUGUGGCUCUGGGGGAAAGCUCUUGCCUGGCUUGUGCAAAGCACAGGGCCUCAAUCCCCAGCACUUCAACAAGCAGAAGACAAGAAGCGGGAUUUGAGUAGGCGAGGGUUCCAGAGUAUCAGGCUCUUGCGUCUAUCCUGGCUGGAUUCAGGCUGCCCAGAUGCAUCAAGGAUAAUACACUUUGCUCUGGGUCCCACUCAUCCUCACAUUGUGACUGUGGCAGAUGUGGGAGGCUGAGAGCUGCAGCCAACUGCUUCCUUCCAGCCCAUCCUGACCCAUCACAACUGACCAGAGAAAGAGAAGAUGGACAUCUUUCAUUGUCUGGUGAUUGACUCCCGAAGACUCAAGUUAAACAGGAAGGACUCCAGCUCUGGUUGUGUGUGUCUGUUUACAGUGAAGCACAUGAACAACCAUGAAUGAAAUCCUCUAAGAAUUUGCUACUUCUGUCUCCUCUGAGCUCACAAACCUGCUCUUUGGGGCCUUGCAGGACAUUCACGGCACCAAAUUUCCAGCCGCUGACUAUGUUUUCCUGUCUCCUUCAAAACCCAAGUGAACUCAGCCUGCAUCUCUUUUUAAUUUUACAUUUUUUAAAAACAAGUUUUCACUACGUAGCCCAAACUGACCUUGAAUUCAUAAUCCCCUGGGCUCCUAGAUGGGCUUGGCCAGGCCUGUGAGCUCUGCAGCUUCCUAAGCAGACGUUCUCGCUCGAGUGUAUACACACCACACAACAGCUGGAUCGGUUGCUAUUUCUUGCUUGGUUUUGAUUGUUGCUUUUGAUUUAACUUGUGAAAACACCAUGCCUGGGUUGUGGCAGGAAGCAGGACGUGACUGUUCUGAAUUCUUACACUGUCCUUGUGAAGGGACAUGUUAUCUCUCCUGCUUCCAUAUGUCAUUUGUCUUUGCUUAUCUAGAGAGCAGAACCCUGGCGCCCUGCCUAGGACUGUGUGGGAGCCGGGCAGUUUCUUUCUUGGGUUCAUCAUUUAGUUAGUUGUAAGCACCUAGUGGAAAAUUAUUCUAAAUAUAUGUGCUGUAGAACCUUCAGGAGAGUGGAUGUGAAAGGUAGCUGGACUUUCUUCAACCCCAGGAAACAGAACAACACCCUCACUCCUCUGCAGACAGCUCUGCUGAGGUGGGUGGGCAGGGGCUAGGACCUUCCCUGCAGCACUUUCAGAGCCUGUAUUGGAAAUGUUCCUAGCUAUAUUGUAUCCAUUCACCUUUACUACACAGGACAUGGAGUUACGGACUUCAUUUCGAAGGCACCCUUGCAGAUUAGGACAAAAGGUUGUCAGUUAUCAGCCUGUGUCUUGGAAGGGAACUAGUGAGACUCCUUGUUUUGGGGCUAUCUCAAGGAAAUUUCCCUUUUUAUUAUUUAUCCUUGGGUGGCUGAGUCCUUCAAAUCAGACUUUCUUCAUGUCCAUGCAAAAGCAUGCCUU